AUAACGCUUUGGGGUGUUUUUGGUGAGAACAUAACUAUAUAACAAGGUUAAAACAUACAAAAAGUGAAUUUUGCAUGAUACAGCCCCUUUAAGGCUGAGGGGGUCUGAGUUUCAACAGAGCUGGACUUCCUGUCAGCCUGGCUAUGGUAUUAAAGAGGAACCUGGGGCUGCUCUGGUUUUCUUCUAUUCAGGAUGAAUAGUAGGCAGUUCCAGUUUUACGUAAAGUUUUUUUUAUAAGUUCACAGACUAUCUUUCCAGGCAGUACGAAAUACUUCUAGUUGUGUUAGAUGUCAUUUCCUCUCUCGUUUUCCAGCUGAUCUUUUUAAUGUUUGCAGUUGUUUGUUGUACCAUGGAGCUCGUCUCCUGAGGGUUCAUGAUAUUACCUUCAGGGGAGCAGCUGAGUCCAGUGUGGAGCAGAGUGAAGCGGCCGCUUCAUCUACGACUAACUCACCCUGAGUGGCGCUGAUACUGCUGCUAAUGCUAAUGCUAAUGCUAAUACUGCUCUCCACUGGGCCAACAGAUGGGAGUGAGGUUAAUAUUGAUGGAUCAUUUCCUUGAAUUUGGUCACAUUAUCCUCUGACAGACAUCUUCUGAGUUUAAGUUUUUUCCCAGGUACUUUAAAACCAGCUGAUGUAAACUCAAAUGAUAACAGGAAGUGAUCAGACAGUACAGGGUUGUUAGUUGGUCAAUGUCAAUACCGUCGGUGAGAACAAGGUGGAGGGUGUGAUUAAAGUGAUGAGUAGGUUUAUUCACCUUCUGUGAAAAACCAGUUGUAUCAAGUAGUGAACUGAAAGCAAUGUUAAGGCUGUCAGUGUCAACAUCUAUAUGAAUAUUAAAGUCUAAACUACAAUGAUUUCAUCUGAACUUAAAGGUCCCAUAUUAUGCUAAGUUUCAGCAAGUUCAAAUGGGUCUCAGAGGUCCAAUACCAGUCUAUUUGAUGUUUUUUGCCUAAAAAUCCAGUUUUUUCCUGGACUUCAGCCAGCCUGAAGUCCCCUCUCCUGAGCUCUGCUGAGAACAGGCCGUUUCUGGUCUGUAGCUUUACAUUCUAAUGAGCUUCUCUGACCACGCCUCCUCCACACCAUAUAUGGGAGAGGGCGUGGCUCUGCUCUGGUAUCACGCUGUAAUGUUGACACACGCAGAGCCGCAUGUCUGCUACGAACUCUGUAGUUCAGCCAGACCAGUUUGAGCCAGAGUCUGACCCAGAAGGAGAGGCCCCUGAAGAACUUCACUCUCUGCGGCUGCAGCAGGACGGUUCUGAACGGUGCACCUGUGGAAACUGCUACCAUCCCCACAGAAGCUGAGAAUAUCUGCUGUUUGGAGAUACCACAGGUCACCAGACGGCUGCGGGAGGUGGAGGAGCAGCCGUCCUGUAUGGUGGACCAUCCUGGGUUGGAGCCUGUUUGCCUCAGUGUGUACUCUCUGCAGAAAGCCUGCCAAAUGUAUGGUGCUGACUGUGGUCCUUUACAGCUGAGAGGAAUACACCAGUAUGUUAUGCUUUGUAUCUAAAUCAAAAAUGUAGUCUUACUUUCCUUCUUAAUCUUACAUAAUCUUACAAUUGUAACAAAACAAGAUGAAUGUGAAUUGAUUUUGGGUUUUUUUUUAAACUGCGUAUUUCUUCCAAAAGCCGUUGGUCUGUACGUCAUUCAUGUAAUCACAGAGUCACUUCUGUAGACAAGCAUUUAUUGACAUCACACACUUUACAUAUAACCCACAACAUGGGGCCAGCCUAUGACUGGCAAUGACCUCCUCUGUGUCAGGCUGCUGAACUGUGCAGUGAGGUCCUCUGGAACGGGGAUGGCCAGGACUGCCUCUGUGUGUGGAGCCAGGACUGCCUCUGUGUAUGGAGCCGGAUCCUUGAAGAUUUCUUCAAAAAUGAGGUCCAUCAUCUCAGCAACAUACCCUGUUUCAGAAAAGACAUGCACAAAGAAACUGUUGUUUUUGUUUUGUUUUUUUAAUUUUACAAUGACAGAGUUCUUUCCUAAAUACGUCCUGGUGUUUGGCACUUUAUCUAAUUUACUGUUUUCACAAGGUUGUUUUUGGUGUGUUGAAGGUUCUUUCCAAAACACGUUUCGGUUAAAAAAAUUAAUAAAAGAAUAUGACACUUACGGAAUGUUGGCUCUGUCUUUAGUUGUUUUGCUCUGCAUCCUCCCUUCAUGGCCUUUGGAAAGUGGACCUUGAAGAGGGGCACACCUUCGUUUUGGCUUGUGGUCGGUUGGCGUUUUCAUUAUAACACAUGGCAGCCAGGUAGAGUCUGGAAGUACAGGAAAGAGAAAAUCAAAGACGUUAACGCUGACAGACACUUUUCGCUAGACACUCACACAAUUUCUAUGUAACCAGUUAUUUUACCUUUAAUUUCAGUGAAAUAUAAAUACCUGGAGAGUCUGCCCUCAUGUCGCCACAACGAUUACUUUGUCGUCCUG